AUUGAACGCUGGCGGCAGGCCUAACACAUGCAAGUCGAGCGGGAUUUACCUUCGGGUAAUGAGAGCGGCGGACGGGUGAGUAAUGCUUGGGAAUCUACCUAGUAGUGGGGGACAACAGUUGGAAACGACUGCUAAUACCGCAUACGCCCUACGGGGGAAAGGGGGGGAUCUUCGGACCUCUUGCUAUUAGAUGAGCCCAAGUCGGAUUAGCUAGUUGGUGGGGUGAAGGCCUACCAAGGCGACGAUCCGUAGCUGGUUUGAGAGGAUGAUCAGCCACACUGGGACUGAGACACGGCCCAGACUCCUACGGGAGGCAGCAGUGGGGAAUAUUGGACAAUGGGCGCAAGCCUGAUCCAGCCAUGCCGCGUGUGUGAAGAAGGCCCUAGGGUUGUAAAGCACUUUAAGUAGGGAGGAAGGUCUGGUAAUUAAUACUUAUCAGGAUUGACGUUACCUACAGAAUAAGCACCGGCUAACUCCGUGCCAGCCGCCGCCGUAA
rnacentral:rRNA from 1 species